rnacentral:rRNA from 1 species
AUUGCCUUAGUAACGGCGAGUGAAGCGGCAACAGCUCAAAUUUGAAAUCUGGCCCCAGGCCCGAGUUGUAAUUUGCAGAGGAUGCUUUUGGCGCGGUGCCUUCCGAGUUCCCUGGAACGCGACGCCAUAGAGGGUGAGAGCCCCGUCUGGUUGGAUACCAAGCCUUUGUAAAGCUCCUUCGACGAGUCGAGUAGUUUGGGAAUGCUGCUCUAAAUGGGAGGUAUAUGUCUUCUAAAGCUAAAUACCGGCCAGAGACCGAUAGCGCACAAGUAGAGUGAUCGAAAGAUGAAAAGCACUUUGGAAAGAGAGUUAAACAGCACGUGAAAUUGUUAAAAGGGAAGCGUUUAUGACCAGACUUGGGCCGGUUAAUCAUCCAGCGUUCUCGCUGGUGCACUUUGCCGGUCCAGGCCAGCAUCAGUUCGCUGCGGGGGAUAAAGGCGUCGGGAAUGUGGCUCCUCUGGAGUGUUAUAGCCCUUCGCGCAAUACCCUGCGGUGGACUGAGGUUCGCGCAUCUGCAAGGAUGCUGGCGUAAUGGUCAUCAACGACCCGUCUUGAAACACGGACCAAGGAGUCGUCUUCGUAUGCGAGUGUUCGGGUGUAAAACCCCUACGCGUAAUGAAAGUGAACGCAGGUGAGAGCUUCGGCGCAUCAUCGACCGAUCCUGAUGUUCUCGGAUGGAUUUGAGUAAGAGCAUACGGGGCCGGACCCGAAAGAAGGUGAACUAUGCCUGUAUAGGGUGAAGCCAGAGGAAACUCUGGUGGAGGCUCGCAGCGGUUCUGACGUGCAAAUCGAUCGUCAAAUAUGGGCAUGGGGGCGAAAGACUAAU